CCCAGACUCCUACGGGAGGCAGCAGUGGGGAAUAUUGCACAAUGGGGGAAACCCUGAUGCAGCGACGUCGCGUGAGUGAUGAAGUAUUUCGGUAUGUAAAGCUCUAUCAGCAGGGAAGAAAAUGACGGUACCUGACUAAGAAGCCCCGGCUAACUACGUGCCAGCAGCCGCGGUAAUACGUAGGGGGCAAGCGUUAUCCGGAUUUACUGGGUGUAAAGGGAGCGUAGACGGCCAAGCAAGCCAGGGGUGAAAGCCCGGGGGCCAACCCCGGGACUGCCCUUGGAACUGCAUGGCUGGAGUGCGGGAGGGGCAGGCGGAAUUCCUAGUGUAGCGGUGAAAUGCGUAGAUAUUAGGAGGAACAUCAGUGGCGAAGGCGACUUUCUGGACUGUAACUGACGCUGAGGCACGAAAGUGUGGGGAGCAAACAGGAUUAGAUACCCCAGUAGA
rnacentral:rRNA from 1 species